AGGCAGUAGAGUGUCCCUUUAUGCAAUAUUGGAAAAAGGGGCCAGACAGUGGGCACCCGAGAAUCAAGGAGACCCACGAGACAGAUGAGUGACAGAAGAGGUUUACGUUCCACCGUGGAAUGGUACUGAAAUGCUGUGGCUUGACCAUCAGGGGAAAUAGAUUGCCUAUGGAAAAGGUGCAUGGACACACUACACUCGAAGGGGAGGACUAAGCGUGCCAACAUGGAAGCAUUCAGAAGGGCAGGCUCUCAAUCUCAGUGACUUCUGGCAAGCCACUGUCACCAUGCAUACAGCAUCUCAGCCACACAGGACCUGCCAUGGGCCAGAGGUCAUCUUCGCAAACAUCAUCCUCCCCCACAGGAAAAUGACUCAGAAGGAACUCAGCAUCAAUUAUUCUACAGUACUUGUGUGUACAAACUCCAUCUUAUCCCACUACAAAGCACACCUGAUUGGCUAAUGUGCAAGAGAUAAAAAGUAAUUUUAAAAUAUUUUUUCAUUUAUUCAUUUGCAAGCCACACCAUAAAGAUGAAAUAAUUAGAAGUCACACUUGACAGAAGAAAUACUUUGUCUGUGCUGUGUUUUUUAAUAUGGACACUGUUUGCAGUAGAACA